rnacentral:rRNA from 1 species
GAUGAACGCUGGCGGCGUGCCUAAUACAUGCAAGUCGAACGAGGCCCUCUUCCUUCGGGAGGAGGUGUCCUAGUGGCGAACGGGUGAGUAUCACGUUGGUGACCUACCCCGAAGAGGGGGACAACCCCGGGAAACUGGGGCUAAUACCCCAUGUGAUCCUAAGGACUAGAUGCCUAAGGAUGAAAUGGAGCAAUUCGCUUCGGGAGGGGCCUGCGGCCUAUCAGCUAGUUGGUGAGGUAACGGCUCACCAAGGCAACGACGGGUAGGGGACCUGAGAGGGUGACCCCCCACACUGGAACUGAAACACGGACCAGACACCUACGGGUGGCAGCAGUAGGGAAUAUUGCACAAUAGGCGAAAGCCUGAUGCAGCAACGCCGCGUGCGCGAUGAAGGCCUUAGGGUUGUAAAGCGCUUUUCUGGGGGACGAGAAAGGACGGUACCCCAGGAAUAAGUCUCGGCUAACUACGUG